rnacentral:rRNA from 1 species
CAGCCGCCGCGGUAAUUCGUAGGGUGCGAGCGUUAAUCGGAAUUACUGGGCGUAAAGCGUGCGCAGGCGGUUCGUUAAGUCUGAUGUGAAAGCCCCGGGCUCAACCUGGGAAUGGCAUUGGAAACUGGCGGGCUGGAGUAUGGCAGAGGGGGGUGGAAUUCCACGUGUAGCAGUGAAAUGCGUAGAGAUGUGGAGGAACACCGAUGGCGAAGGCAGCCCCCUGGGCCAAUACUGACGCUCAGGCACGAAAGCGUGGGGAGCAAACAGGAUUAGAUACCCUGGUAGUCCACGCCCUAAACGAUGAUCACUGGGUGUUGGGGAAGCGAUUCCUUGGUACCGUAGCUAACGCGUGAAGUGAUCCGCCUGGGGAGUACGGUCGCAAGAUUAAAACUCAAAGGAAUUGACGG